ACAGCCCCCUACAACCUUUGGACACAGCAUUAAACGGAUUUCGGCCCCUUAGCCUUGAAUAAAUAUUCCCAGAAAACGUUAAGCUUUAACUACAGCAAAAGGUUAAGAGAAAGAGAGUGUACAUAGUGGGAGAGAACGUCUAGCAGAAGGGCAAACAAAAAGUAACUGUAAAAUUUAGCGCUAUGUCAACACAUUCCAACAGGCAGAGCGGAACCCAGGGACACUGCCUCACUCUCUCUCCGCUCCCUCCCAUCACUUCAACGGAAAGAGCAACCAUGUGCAAGUCCCGGACCCGAGGACAAUGCAACUCAAGUGUUCAGCCACCUAGCAAGGAGUGAUUAAAAGAGUUCUAUAACGACAUGGAUGUUGUAGACCCUUGAUCAAAUUGCCACCUUUUAAAAAUACACCCUGGCAGAAAGGGAGCGCACUCCCAUAUGAUUGCGAGCAGCCAAAGGAAGACCUUAAUAAGUAGCCUCAACAUAUAUGUAGUUCUUCCAAUCCCAGCUUCCCCCUUUGAGCAGCAGACAGAAGACAUUCGUCCACUCUCCCCACCCGCCGCACAUCCGUGAAGCAGAGAACUUUCUCUUGUAAGCUGGUGGCAGCCGCAUACAAAUUAUUUUGGCCAAAAGUUUAACUCAACUGCAAAGAAUUUUAAAAAGUUUCACGCCAUCGCAUCUCUGCCUCUCCAUUAGGCAGAAAUUGUCUUGGGAAGGGAGGGAGCUGAUAAAUUAAGACGCUGCCGGAGCCACAAAUCAUUGAAUUGAACCGCAGUGCGACAGGGACCGAGACUGGAACUGGUGGGACGGAGACAGCCCCAGGCUCAGCUGCUGCUUCAAUUCAAUCUGCCAUCGAUUUGCCCCCAAAGGCGACACAUGUGGCAAAGCACGGCUCCUCCCAGCUACCAGCUCCCUACUCUCCUACGUUUAUCUUUUUCCUUAUUUGUGCACCCUCACAAAGAGUACAAAGGGUAUUAUUAUUUUCACAUCUCAGACUUAAUAAAUCAUAUAUGUAGCUGGAUUAGGAACUGGUAGGAGCUCAUCGAAAUAUGUAUCUCAAUCAGAACGGAAGAUGGACCUGGAAGGGUAUCUAAAGCCUCGGCCCCAACAAUAUCUCUUCGGUUCUGUUUGUAAUAAAAUUUGCUGGGAACUUU